AGCCUAGCGCUAAGGCUUAAUACGGUUGUCGCAAGGCAAUCACCAAAUAAAAGUAUUAAGCGGUGCAGCGUUACAAACUCUGGUGUUUAGUGAUGUCAAUGUAGUGUGCGGGGCAACUCGUGCACUGCUUUCGGCCUAGCGUACAAGUCCCUUUGACUUGGGCCUAUUCUUUAAUUGAGAUGCCUGCGGGUUUGGGGCAACUUGGAUCCGUGGGUGAGCCAUAGAGGGUGAAAGUCCCUUAAUGCGCAGGUAUUGAUGUCACGAACUAGAGCAGUGGUGUCUGGUAAAACAGGCAUUGCGAUUUGUUAGAGUCGGGUUGCUUGAGAGUGCAACCUAAAGAGCGAGGUAAACUGCUCGUAAGGCUACUUUUAAAUACGGCUACGACACCGAUAGCGAACAAGUACCGUGAGGGAAAGUUGCAAAGCACUUUGAAGAGAGAGUUAAACAGGGCGUGAAACCGCUAGCUGGUAAACGAGUGGAGCCACGAAGUCGUUUCGUAGAAUACAAGGCUCAGAUUCAGCUAUGGUUCCCUGUAAAAGGGGGGCUAUAGCGUAUUUCUGAUUGUCUUGCUGCGUAUGCGUACACUGCAACCAAUUGGACGGUUAAUCGUGGAAACAGUUUGCAAGUUAACAGGGAAACUUGUUGCUUGUAAACGACAAAAUUUGUGUAUCUACUGUAGGUAGCUCGAAUGUGUCUUUAUGGCUCAUAUUGGGUGUCUGACAUUUUGUAGAUACGUGAACUACGAUUAAGUACCGAUUGGCAAAACGAAAAUUGAUUCGCAAGAAUCGUUUCAUAUAAAGCGGUCAGUAUUGUAUUUAAGUACAAUUGUACGCUAUCAGUAUAAGCUUGGUAUUUUUGAAUUCAGGCACGUAUACUGUCAGUGGGUUUACUUGCUGAUGUAUGCGGUGUUUCCUGUCUAAUCGGAUAUUAACUUUGCUGGUAGUUUGAUGCAGUUGCUACGAUAGCUUGGAUACAUUGAUUGAUUUGCAAGUAUUGGCAGUGAGUAGGUCGGCUUUCCACACGACCCGUCUUGAAACACGGACCAAGGAGUCUAGUUAAGUAUCGAGUCGAUCGGUCUUGAUUAGGCCAGACAUCAGGAGCACGUAAAAAUGCAUUGUCCUGAAUAACCAACAAAUGACGGCAAAGUGAAAUCAAAUUAUGUGAUCUGAGGUCUAUAACAAUGGCCUACAGCGCAACAUAUGCCUACUCGUAUGGUUAUACGCGUAAGUGUUAACCGAGUGGAGCAAAGAGAUACUUGACUGGUACCCGAAAGAUGGUGAACUAUUCCUGGCCAGAUUGAAGCCAGAGGAAACUCUGGUGGAGGAUUGUAGCGAUUCUGACGUGCAAAUCGAUCGUCAGAGCUGGGUAUAGGGGCGAAAGACUAAUCGAACCAUCUAGUAGCUGGUUCCCUCCGAAGUUUCCCUCAGGAUAGCAAGCUCUCGCAGAAAUGUGAAUCAGUUUCAUCUGGUAAAGCGAAUGAUUAGAGGCCUUGGGAGCGAAACGCUCUCAACCUAUUCUCAAACUUUAAAUGGGUGAGAUGUGCGACGUACUUAAUUGACGCCGUAAUCACAGUAGAAUGUAUUGAGAGCUUAGUGGGCCAUUUUUGGUAAGCAGAACUGGCGAUGCGGGAUGAACCGAAAGUGAAGUUAAGGUUGCCGAUAAUGGUGCUAACAAAUAUGCGUGCACUAGCUACACUCAUGAGAUCCCAUGAAAGGUGUAAGUUGCUAAAGACAGCAAGGACGUGGCCAUGGAAGUCGGAAUCAUCUAAGGAGUGUGUAACAACUCACUUGCCGAAGCAACUUGCCCUGAAAAUGGAAGCAGCUCGAGUGUUGAACCUAUACUUCACCGUUGAAUCAAUGAUUUGCUUAAUUGCGAUUAGUUAUGAUUCAACGUGUAGGAGGGUUGUGUUGGUAGCGUUGAAGGCUAUGAGGGAGUGAUCCUGGCUGGAGCUGCCAAUAGUACAGAUCUUGGUGGUAGUAGCAAAUACUCAAGUGAGACCCUUGAGGGCCAAUGUGGAGAAGGGUUCCAUGCUAACAGCAAUUGGACAUGGGUCAGUCGGUCCUAAGAGAAUGGCGAAAGCUAUUUCUGAAUCAAAGGCAGUGUAAGCAAAUAAAAAUUUCUUAAAAAUAUGUGUUUAUUAUAUAUAUAUUAUCGCACACAAAAAAUUCUCUACUAAAAAAAUAUAUACAAAAAUCAUAAACAUAUCUAUAAUUCAUAUAUAGAUGUGUUUAUUGUAAAUAUGAAUUAUAGUAGUAGUAGAAAAAAAGCAUGAUAUAUAUUAUUAUAACAUAUAAAAUUUUAGAAUGAUCACUGCAUGACUCGAAAGGGAAUUAGGUUAAUAUUCCUAAACCAAGAUGGGGAGAAUGCCAGCUGUGCGGCUACUUCACGUAGUUGUGCAUUGGCAGUGGCGGUAACGCAAAUAAGCACGAUGACGCCGGCGGUAGCCCUGGGAAGAGUUGUCUUUUCUUUGUAAGCUUACUGUGUUUUCUAACGAGGCCUU
rnacentral:rRNA from 1 species